UACGUAGGUGGCAAGCGUUGUCCGGAAUUAUUGGGCGUAAAGCGCGCGCGGGCGGUCUUUUAAGUCUGAUGUGAAAGCCCACGGCUCAACCGUGGAGGGUCAUUGGGAACUGGGAGACUUGAGUACAGAAGAGGAAAGCGGAAUUCCACGUGUAGCGGUGAAAUGCGUAGAGAUGUGGAGGAACACCAGUGGCGAAGGCGACUCUCUGGUCCGUAACUGACGCUGAGGAGCGAAAGCGUGGGGAGCGAACAGG
rnacentral:misc_RNA from 1 species